rnacentral:misc_RNA from 1 species
GUGAAUCAUCAAAUUUUUGAACGCAAAUUGCACUCUCCUCGGAGAGUAUGCCUGUUUGAGGGUCAGCCUAUAAAAAUCGACAACGUUGCUGUUUUGCGGUGGCGUUUGGUGGAAAAUGGGUCAUCUUUAAUCCUUUUGUUUUAAGCGACUUAAAAUUUUUUUUUUGUUCUAUGUACGUUUCUUAGAUCUAUUUCUUUAUACGUUUAAGGUAUCGAUUUUUACUUGACGUGACCCUCAUAUCGGGUGGCGUCCAUAAUCU